UACAGGGGGGGCAAGCGUUGUUCGGAAUUACUGGGCGUAAAGGGUUCGUAGGUGGCCAACUAAGUCAGACGUGAAAUCCCUCAGCUUAACUGGGGAACUGCGUCUGAUACUGGAUGGCUUGGAUUCGGGAGAGGAAUGCGGAAUUCCAGGUGUAGCGGUGAAAUGCGUAGAUAUCUGGAGGAACACCGGUGGCGAAGGCGGCAUUCUGGACCGAUAUUGACGCUGAGGAGCGAAAGCCAGGGGAGCAAACGGG
rnacentral:rRNA from 1 species